rnacentral:rRNA from 1 species
GCCGUAGCUAACGCAUUAAGUGCCCCGCCUGGGGAGUACGGCCGCAAGGCUAAAACUCAAAGGAAUUGACGGGGGCCCGCACAAGCGGCGGAGCAUGCGGAUUAAUUCGAUGCAACGCGAAGAACCUUACCAAGGCUUGACAUUCACCGGACCGCCCCAGAGAUGGGGUUUCCCUUCGGGGCUGGUGGACAGGUGGUGCAUGGUUGUCGUCAGCUCGUGUCGUGAGAUGUUGGGUUAAGUCCCGCAACGAGCGCAACCCUCGUUCUAUGUUGCCAGCACGUGAUGGUGGGGACUCAUAGGAGACUGCCGGGGUCAACUCGGAGGAAGGUGGGGAUGACGUCAAAUCAUCAUGCCCCUUAUGUCUUGGGCUUCACGCAUGCUACAAUGGCCGGUACAAAGGGUUGCGAUACUGUGAGGUGGAGCUAAUCCCAAAAAGCCGGUCUCAGUUCGGAUUGAGGUCUGCAACUCGACCUCAUGAAGUCGGAGUCGCUAGUAAUCGCAGAUCAGCAACGCUGCGGUGAAUACGUUCCCGGGCCUUGUACACACCGCCCGUCAAGUCACGAAAGUUGGUAACACCCGAAGC